rnacentral:sRNA from 1 species
CUCUCCUACACCAGUUUCAUGAACACAACGGUCAAUUGUAUAAUUGAAAUCAGAUAGAAGCUAAACCUUUUCUUAUCUCCCGAGUGGUUGGGGAACUUUGCAUCUCUUCAGUCCCUAUGUAUAGACAGAUGCAUGAAUCUGAACUAUUUUCCUACAGCUGAAGCUAUGAAAUGCCUCACCAAAUUAAAAACAAUAGACAUUUGUAAUUGUUCCGUUCUAAAAGAGAGAUGCAACGAGGAGAGCGGCCCGGAAUGGCACAAGAUUUCUCAUAUUCCAAAUAUUGAAUGGUGGUGAUGGGGUAGCUGAUUAUUACAUUAUUCAACUCAAAUCAGUCAUUCUUCUAAAGUUCCUGGAGACUGGUGAUGGCUGGGAGUCGGUACAUUGCAUUGAAGCAGAUUGCGGGAUGAAAAUAUUUAACAAAAUGAAUUCAGACUACAAAGUUAAUUGAAGCUCUGGAAAAUUUUGUGGUCGAAAAGGAUGAUAGACUAUUGAAAUCAUUUAUCGGUGGACGAUUUUUACUCCAGUUUAGGUGUAAACAUAUACCAAAACAACAAGGCUAUGGUGAGGGGAAUAAUUGUUUAGGGUUUAUGCUUUGUUUUCAAACACGAAAAAUAUCAGAGAUAUAUGACAAAGGAUUGGAUGUUUGAUUGGAAGUGCACAUUCAUUCAUUUGCUCGACGUUUUAUGAUAUUACGGUGUCAAAAUUGCAAUGCGAUAUCACAAAAAGAGAGCACAGGACUUCAUUUACCAUUUACAACUCAACCCCACAAUACCGAAGUACAAGAGAAGCGAAGAUUUGAGCUUUCGUAUAGAGAGUACAUAUGGGGUCCUACAAUUCCUGUGUUGAGCUUCCAGUGCACAGUUGAGAGACAAGGAAGUGUGAAGAGAUCAAAGUUUAGGAUUUUUGUUUGGCCACCAUUGACGAAGUGAAAGUGAGGCCAAAAGAGAGAAGAGUUGGUUGAGAGAAAAAGAAGUCUCACGGUGAGAGGCUACUUUCAUUUGUGAUGUAUCGCGAAUGCUGUUUGUUGUUCCUUUAUUUUUUUUCAGUAUUCCGGUUGAAGCUACAGUAUUUGUUAACAACUGUUUCCAUUUCUAUAUACCCUGAACCCUCUCUGGAAAUUAAUUAAAAUGAUUUCUGGUAUAUGCAAUAUAUGUU